GCUGGGCACGGUGGCUCAUGCCUGUAAUCCUAGUGGUUCAGGAGGCUGAGGCAGGAGGAUUGUGAGUUCAAAGCCAGCCUCAG
rnacentral:sRNA from 1 species